AAAGACUUUCCAGGCUUGAUGCCGAACCCUUCCUACUAACUCCUUGUUGCAUUUAUAACAUGACAUGCUGUAAAUCAUAAAAUUGAAGAAAUUGAAGGAUUUGUGGAUGAAACUGACAGAAUCUUGCUCCAAUCUCAACAAUUCAAGGAAUCUGCUAAUCGAGGGAGGCUUAAACCUGGAGUAAUUUUGGAGCAGCUCCUAAUGGUCGGUUUGGAGGAAGAGCUAUAGGUACUCAACUGAAUUUGCAGAAUCAACUAAUCAAGGCCUCAUUAAACCUGGAGCAACAUAGGAGCACGGCAGUUGGUCGGUUUGGAGCAAGAGAAAAUGCUUUUAAUCAAGGAGUGGAGGCAACAUUGACCAAUACCAGCUCUACACAAACUGUUGCCUAGCAGCCUACAUCAUGAACUUUGAGUCCUUGAACACUUUGUUUUCAACUAUUGCACUUAGUUAUUGUAUCAUUUGAUAUUUUGAUUCAUUUGGGUGAGCUGUGAACUAUGAAUUAUUGACUUAAAAUUUGUAUGAACUAUGGAGUGAUGAAGGGAGUUGAUGUAUUCACUCAUACGUGAUGAACUCAAGUAGUGAAGUUGAUGUAUGAGAGUUUUUA